rnacentral:rRNA from 1 species
GUGCAUUUUGCUGAAACCUUAGUUAAACCGUCUGUUUGAGAUGGGUUUGACCACACGACUCUAAAUAAGGAUGGUCGCCUGGACUUGGAGCCCGUGAACGGCCCAGCCGGGAUGCUAGCCAGCGAUCGUCGCUGGUGACACCUUUAGUCUGCGGGAACAUUCGUAGAACAACCUGCAGCCGUAUCUGUUUUUCCACUGUUAAAACAGGAUUAACUGACCGGCACACAGACUAAAUAACGGUGGACGUUGUGAUCGAUAUUGCGGCGUUUCAGACAUAGUCGCGCUCCCUGGAAAUCUCUCCGGGGACAAUCGCUCCGGCGAUGAGACCACGUUCCGUAGGUGAACCUGCGGAAGGAUCAUUA